rnacentral:miRNA from 2 species
UGGAAUGGUGUGAGUAGUGUG